rnacentral:rRNA from 1 species
GAUGAACGCUAGCGACAGGCUUAACACAUGCAAGUCGAGGGGCAGCAUAAAAGUAGCAAUACUUUGGUGGCGACCGGCGCACGGGUGAGUAACGCGUAUGCAACCUACCUAUCAGAGGGGAAUAACCCGGCGAAAGUCGGACUAAUACCGCAUAAAACAGGGGCACCGCAUGGUGAUAUUUGUUAAAGAAAUUCGCUGAUAGAUGGGCAUGCGUUCCAUUAGGUAGUUGGUGAGGUAACGGCACACCAAGCCGACGAUGGAUAGGGGAACUGAGAGGUUGGUCCCCCANACUGGUACUGAGACACGGACCAGACUCCGUACGGGAGCAGCAGUGAGGAAUAUUGGUCAAGUGGGCGAGAGCCUGAACCAGCCAAGUCGCGUGAAGGAAGAAGGAUCUAUGGUUACGUAAACUUCUUUGCGAGGGGAAUAAGUGCGGGACGUGU